UUAGAGUUUGAUCCUGGCUCAGGACGAACGCUGGCGGCGUGCCUAACACAUGCAAGUCGAGCGAAUGAAAUUCCUUCGGGAACGGAUUUAGCGGCGGACGGGUGAGUAACACGUGGGCAACCUGCCUCAUAGAGGGGAAUAGCCUUCCGAAAGGGAGAUUAAUACCGCAUAAGAUUGUAGUACCGCAUGGUACAGCAAUUAAAGGAGCAAUCCGCUAUGAGAUGGGCCCGCGGCGCAUUAGCUAGUUGGUGAGGUAACGGCUCACCAAGGCGACGAUGCGUAGCCGACCUGAGAGGGUGAUCGGCCACAUUGGGACUGAGACACGGCCCACACUCCUACGGGAGGCAGCAGUGGGGAAUAUUGCACAAUGGGGGAAACCCUGAUGCAGCAACGCCGCGUGAGUGAUGACGGCCUUCGGGUUGUAAAGCUCUGUCUUCAGGGACGAUAAUGACGGUACCUGAGGAGGAAGCCACGGCUAACUACGUGCCAGCAGCCGCGGUAAUACGUAGGUGGCGAGCGUUGUCCGGAUUUACUGGGCGUAAAGGGAGCGUAGGCGGAUUUUUAAGUGAGAUGUGAAAUACUCGGGCUUAACCUGAGUGCUGCAUUUCAAACUGGAAGUCUAGAGUGCAGGAGAGGAGAAGGGAAUUCUUAGUGUAGCGGUGAAAUGCGUAAAGAUUAAGAAAAACACCAGUGGCGAAGGCGCUUCUCUGGACUGUAACUGACCCUGAAGGCUCAAAAGCGGGGGGAACAAAACGGAAUUAAAUACCCCGGGUCAUCCACCCCCAUAAAAAAAAAAAUACUUAGGGGGGGCGGGGGACCUGAC
rnacentral:rRNA from 1 species